rnacentral:rRNA from 1 species
GACGAACGUUGGCGGCGUGCUUAAUACAUGCAAGCCAACUGAAGCACCGGUAGUAAUACUGGUGUGGAGGUGGCGCACGGGUGAGUAACACGUAGGUAAUCUGCCUUCAGGUCUGACAUAACCCCGAGAAAUCGGGGCUAAUAGCAGAUGAUGCAGCGGCUUGACAUCAAGACAGUUGUUAAAGCUUCGGCGCCUGAAGAUGAGCCUGCGUCUGAUUAGCUAGUUGGCGGAGUAAUAGCCCACCAAGGCGACGAUCAGUAGCUGGUCUGAGAGGAUGAUCAGCCACACUGGAACUGAGACACGGUCCAGACUCCUACGGGAGGCAGCAGUAAGGAAUAUUGCUCAAUGGGAGAAAUCCUGAAGCAGCAACGCCGCGUGAGGGAUGAAGGGCUUUUGCUCGUAAACCUCUGUAGUGAGGGAAAAAAUUACCUAUUCUAUGGAAUAU